AGGGCCUCAACCUCCAAGUCUUCACCUGGAGAGAAAGAAGUCCUGAUUCCAAAUCAAAGCCCUACUUUGACAAUUGCACCAUGGGAUUCACACCAAAAUUACAAUCCUGACCUCUGAAGAAUGGAAGCAGCCGAUCCCCAAGCCGACCCACAAUUUCUCUGUAUCCGGGACUGCAGUUUAAGCCGAGCUAUUUUCUCCUCAAUUUGGGAGCUCGCGCAGCCGGAGGCCAUGAGCCAACUACCACCUUCCCAGGGCGGACUGUGAAGAAGAGUUUUGGUCCCGAAGAGGACCGGCCUUUCCCGUCCCCAUGUCCCCUUAAGCACUCUCCAGUCCCCUCUCUCCCGUUGUUUUCUCCUCCUCCCUAGACAGCUGGGGAGAAGCAGUGCGGGUCCCCACGUGCCUGGGCUAGAAAAGGGGGGCUUGCCCACCCCUCCAAGGUCUAGAGCUGGAUCCUCUUCCAAACACAGGAGGGGAGAGGAG
rnacentral:lncRNA from 1 species